CGGCGGACGGGUGAGUAACGCGUGGGUAACCUGCCUCAUACAGGGGGAUAACAGUUAGAAAUGACUGCUAAUACCGCAUAAGACCACAGCACCGCAUGGUGCGGGGGUAAAAACUCCGGUGGUAUGAGAUGGACCCGCGUCUGAUUAGCUGGUUGGUAAGGUAACGGCCUACCAAGGCGACGAUCAGUAGCCGACCUGAGAGGGUGACCGGCCACAUUGGGACUGAGACACGGCCCAA
rnacentral:rRNA from 1 species